UACGUAGGGCGCAAGCGUUAUCCGGAAUUAUUGGGCGUAAAGAGCUCGUAGGCGGUUUGUCGCGUCUGCCGUGAAAGUCCGGGGCUCAACUCCGGAUCUGCGGUGGGUACGGGCAGACUAGAGUGAUGUAGGGGAGACUGGAAUUCCUGGUGUAGCGGUGAAAUGCGCAGAUAUCGGGAGGAACACCGGUGGCGAAGGCGGUUCUCUGGGCCUGACCUGACGCUGAGGAGCGAAAGCGUGGGGAGCGAACAGG
rnacentral:rRNA from 1 species